CCUACGGGUGGCAGCAGUGAGGAAUAUUGGUCAAUGGCCGGAAGGCUGAACCAGCCAAGCCGCGUGAAGGACGAAGGUGCCAAGCAUUGUAAACUUCUUUUGUCAAGGGACAAAAUCAGGCUCGAGAGCCUGACCGAGGGUACUUGAAGAAAAAGCAUCGGAUAACGCCGUGCCAGCAGCCGCGGUAAUAUGGAGGAUGCGAGCGUUAUCCGGAUUUAUUGGGGUUAAAGGGUGCGUAGGAGGACGGUUAAGUCAGCGGUAAAAGCGCGGGGUUCAAACCCGGCGAGCCGUUGAAACUGGCUGUCUGGAGAUGUCGAGAGGUAUGCGGAAUGCGCAGUGUAGCGGUGAAAUGCUUAGAUAUUGCGCAGAACUCCGAUUGCGAAGGCAGCAUACCGGCGGCGAUCUGACGCUGAGGCACGAAAGCGUGGGUAUCGAACAGGAUUAGAUACCCGGGUAGUC
rnacentral:rRNA from 1 species